CAGCCACAUCACAUUGAAACAACGGUUCCUGUACGAUCACCGAAGUUAAGCAACGUCGAGCCCCUACUCAGUACCUAAGUGGGUGACCACUUGGGAAUACCAGGUGCUGAA